rnacentral:tRNA from 1 species
UGUAGCUGAGUGGUAGAGCACUUGCCUAGCAUGCAUGAGGCCCUGGGUUCUACCCCCAACA